GAAAACAGCAUAGGAAUGUAUAGCCUAUUGCUUUAUAUAAUAUAAAUGAUGAUCAUAUGAGAUCUGAGAAUCAUAGAAAAGCAAAGCAUGUCAGAAUACACACAGAUCAUCUGCUGCCUUCAGAUGGGACAUCUGCCACAGAAAUCAUUGAUGGAUGUGGGCAGAACCGAGACAGCUGUGAACUAUCAACACACAGUGAAUUUGAAAAGGCAGCUCUCAAGAGAAUAUCACUUAGACCCAGAGUUCCUGUGUAGGAGUUAUUGAAUUAAGAUAUCUUUUGUCUUAUAGGCUAUACUUAAUAUUAUAUUACUAAAUACUUGUAUGGAAAUACUUUUUUAUCGGUUACCUAAAAAGAUUUGCAGCAGUCUUUUAGUUUUUUUUCACUUUGAUGUCUAAAACAAAUGUAAUCUUGUGCAUUCAUGUUAUGUUUAAGAGUUUAGGCCUUAAACAAACAUCACCAGAGGGGGCUACAGACAGCAUUUAAAGCACCUUAUAUACAACACACUAAUUAUUGGCCCCUGAUAAAUGUAUGUGAUUAUCAAAUACAUCCAACUAGUGCAUAUUUAGAAAAACAAUUAAAACCUUGCUGACUGACAAAAGUCCAGUAUGAACACACAUAAUGGUCAUGGGUGUUAUGUUU